UACGGAGGGUGCGAGCGUUGUCCGGAAUCACUGGGCGUAAAGGGCGCGUAGGCGGCCUGAUAAGUAGGGGGUGAAAUCCUGCGGCUUAACCGCAGGGCUGCCUUCUAAACUGUCAGGCUAGAGCACAGUAGACGCAGGUGGAAUUCCCGGUGUAGCGGUGGAAUGCGUAGAGAUCGGGAAGAACAUCAGUGGCGAAGGCGGCCUGCUGGGCUGUUGCUGACGCUGAGGCGCGACAGCGUGGGGAGCAAACAGG
rnacentral:rRNA from 1 species